rnacentral:rRNA from 1 species
AGUAACACGUGGAUAACCUACCUAUAAGACUGGGAUAACUUCGGGAAGCCGGAGCUAAUACCGGAUAAUAUAUUGAACCGCAUGGUUCAAUAGUGAAAGACGGUUUUGCUGUCACUUAUAGAUGGAUCCGCGCUGCAUUAGCUAGUUGGUAAGGUAACGGCUUACCAAGGCAACGAUGCGUAGCCGACCUGAGAGGGUGAUCGGCCACACUGGAACUGAGACACGGUCCAUACUCCUACGGGAGGCAGCAGCC